UCAGAAACCAGAAUAGGGGACAUAUUUAUGAUCGUCAUAAUUUUUAGAGUCAUUUGGAAAGUUUAAUUGAAAUUUAAUUUUUCGCGAUUCGUAAGGGUGUGUUUGGCCCUUCUUAUUUGUGAUAAAGCUUGUAUAAUUAAAUAUAUAGGUGUGUAUGAGUUAUAUAAGUGGUGAACUCAUACUUUUGGAGUCAAAAAACAAAAUAUCUAAAGAGAGAGAGAGGAAACCGUGAAAGGGAGAGAGGGAAGAGUGUCAAUUUUCUCAACAUCCAUGGAGGCUUUGAAGAUGAUGGAAGAGAAUUGAAGGAAAGAAAGAAGAUCACCCAUGGGACUUGGAGGAAUUGAAGAGAGCUAAGAGGUAGACAAAGAUUGAGUUAGGCACCCCACCUGGAGGUCAGUUUUAACCCAUGGCAUCCGUGCCUCUUUUGUCAACCUCAGAGUAUCCAGGCACUUAAGUGAAGGCAGCCCUUUUUGCUAAACUUUUGAUUUUACACUCUGAUUGUUUGCUUAAGGUUGAUGUAUAUAUAAUUCCUUUGCCUGUCCAUGUUGUUUUACGCCCAACUCUAAGGGCUGGGUCUGUAUAUAUAUAUGUACAUAGCUAACUCUCUGGUGCACGUCACUGUAUGUUUAUUUGCCUUAUGUUCUGUCUGUGAUCCUGGCAUGAUA